rnacentral:rRNA from 1 species
CAAUUUAAACAACGAAGAGUUUGAUCCUGGCUCAGGAUGAACGCUAGCGACAGGCUUAACACAUGCAAGUCGAGGGGCAGCACAGGUAGCAAUACCGGGUGGCGACCGGCGCACGGGUGAGUAACGCGUAUGCAACUUGCCUAUCAGAGGGGGAUAACCCGGCGAAAGUCGGACUAAUACCGCAUGAAGCAGGGAUCCCGCAUGGGAAUAUUUGCUAAAGAUUCAUC